AUUCGUAUAACUAAGUUUAAGUGCUGGGUUCUUACCUCAGCAAUGUGUUAUUACUACGAAUG
rnacentral:tRNA from 1 species